UACGGGGGGGGCAAGCGUUGUUCGGAAUUACUGGGCGUAAAGGGCGCGUAGGCGGCCUUCUAAGUCGGACGUGAAAUCCCUCGGCUCAACCGAGGAACUGCGUCCGAUACUGAAAGGCUUGAAUCCGGGAGAGGGAUGUGGAAUUCCAGGUGUAGCGGUGAGAUGCGUAGAUAUCUGGAGGAACACCGGUGGCGAAGGCGGCAUCCUGGACCGGCAUUGACGCUGAGGCGCGAAAGCUAGGGGAGCAAACGGG
rnacentral:rRNA from 1 species